CUUGCGCUAGAGCUUUAAAGACCAAGGCACCCGUGCUGAUGGGAAAAAUUACCAGGUUUUCCCAUCAGGUGGAAAUGUAGUUUAGGCUUGGGAAAGUGUGUAUAUAUAUACAUAGGUAUCAAAGAGCCACAGAAAUUAACACCUACGGGAACUUAGUGUACUGAAUAAACCCCCUCCCCCCUUUCUUUUUUAAAAAGCACUUUCAUUAGCUCAGAAGUCAGAAAGUGAAGAUCGGGUUGACUGAUGGUUCUGUUUGUGUGUUGCACACCAGAUGAUGUAGUCCACGUUCUUGUGGUAAGCUUUCAGACUUUUCCUGAGAGACGCUGUCACCCUCUCUGGAUGCUCUGUUGCGCAGAACCAGCACAUCCCCUUCUCAAAGCACUCUCCCCUUGUCUUGACUGGCAAGGGGUGCUCGUGCUACCAGUCCUAGAGAUAAGCAGUCUCUGUAAAGAUCUGUUGCGCGAUAAACUUCUGAGAUGACCUCUUUUUCAGACUUAAUGCAUUGUACUGGAAGCUAAGCUUUUCAACUCCUCUUUGAAAAAACAGAUGCCUAAGACUUGGAAACGCUUUGGCAAGCACUUAGGAGCACGGCUUAAAGCUACGCUAUCAUGUGGGGGGGGGGGGGGGGGAGAAAUAUGGGUCUUCCUCUUUCUUCUGUGGAAGAGAAAGGGGACCUACUGAGGUGAUGCAAUUAGUCUUUUUCCCCUCUAUUUUAUGCUUCUGAAAGAAAACACCAGGUACGUUGCAAGUGAGUACUCACAGCAUCCAACAAAAGAUAAAAACCUUUUCUGGCAAGCAGCCUCAGCUCCUGGAGAUGUCGCUGAGAAUGGGUGUCAGCCGCGAGCCAGAGCGGCGCUGCCAAGGAAAGGGACUCCCUUCAGUAGCCAAAGUACAAAAGAAAGAAAGGAUAAUAGCGAAGCAGCUUGCCAAAGAAAGAGUCGCUGCUUUCAUUACUUCUAGUUCUCCCAAGCGGAAUCAUUUUUUUUAUCCUAACAGAACGCAGCCAAAACGAGCAGAAGAAACUAAUCCAGGCAGUGCAGGAAGGAGGGAUCAGAUGACAAGGGGAUUCCAGUACGUCUGCCCCGGAGGGGAGCAGAAGAGUCCCUGCAGCAGAUAAAAUACAGUAACUCGAUCCAGCAUCCCUGUGGGUAUGCCACAUCAGCAGGCAUGGACGUACUGGGUACUCCCAGGUUAACGUGUUUGUGGAAGGCAACUGAUGUAUAUAGCGAAAAGACCAGGUAAUAUGUCUGGUUAGAUGAAAGACCCAAGCAGUAGGCAUGGAAAUCGUAUCCCACUGACGCGGCACCAUUUGUCACUAGGUGCUGCUUUGCAGAGAGGUCUCUGUGUGUGUGUGUGUGUGUGUGUGUGUGUGUUAUGUAUAUAUAUAUUUUUUUUUUAAAUUGCCAGAAUCCAAGUAUUUUCCUUUGGGAGUCUUUUACAGAUCAAGGCCUCUAUGUAACUGCGUCCUCUCCCAAUGGCGGAACGUUGUUGCUCUUAGCUUUCAAAGACUCCAAGUCCUCUGGUUUGGCCUCAACCUUCUCUUCAAUGAAUUAACAUCGUUGUUACCCCCGAGCAUGCACCCAGUGCAGCCUCAGCGUUAGCUCUGUGAAGCCUCCUUCUUUCUCAGUUGUGAGAGAUGUGCUCUCUUUCUUACAGGCUCUGCAAAAGGAAUGAAGGUAGGUUUACAGAUAGGCAGAAAAGGCAUCUAAUUCUUGGAGGUGAUGGUAUGCCUCAGGUACAAGCUGUCAAACAGAAGCCAGUCCUGACUUUGGCCUUAUUUUUAAAUGGUCGGAAGCCAGACGGUGGCGGUCUGGGUGUUUUAGUGACCUUGCAAACGUGCGCUGCAGCUGCGGGCCUUUGUAUGAUAGCGCUGGUGCCGUGCAGUACAGGAACACUUAACCCUAAAGAAGCUGCCUAACAGGCAGCUGCUAACUUGGCAUAAAUGGAAGUUCAUUGCUUUCCCUGAAAGGGAGACAUUAGUAACUGAUAUCAGAGGACCAAUUCAGGAACAAGGCAUGCUCUGUUAACUGCAAUUUUUCAUCGGCCGGUCUGCACGGGCAGCAAAUUCUAUUUUUCUGUGGGUGUGAUGUGGAAUAUCUCCAGUGUCCUUGAGGUCA
ensembl:lncRNA